GAUGAACGCUAGCGGCAGGCCUAACACAUGCAAGUCGAGGGAGAAGCCCUUUCGGGGGCCGAAACCGGCGCACGGGUGCGUAACGCGUAUGCAACCUACCUUUCACAGGGGGAUAGCCCGAAGAAAUUUGGAUUAAUACCCCAUAAUAUUAUUGGAUGGCAUCAUUUGAUAAUUAAAACUGCGGUGGUGAAAGAUGGGCAUGCGUCCUAUUAGCUAGUUGGAGUGGUAACAGCACCCCAAGGCUACGAUAGGUAGGGGUCCUGAGAGGGAGAUCCCCCACACUGGUACUGAGACAGGGACCAGACUCCUACGGGAGGCAGCAGUGAGGAAUAUUGGUCAAUGGUCGGAAGACUGAACCAGCCAUGCCGCGUGCAGGAAGAAUGCCUUAUGGGUUGUAAACUGCUUUUAUAUGGGAAGAAUAAGGCGUACGUGUACGUUGAUGACGGUACCAUAUGAAUAAGCAUCGGCUAACUCCGUG
rnacentral:rRNA from 1 species